CGGUGUUUAACUGGCGUGGUGUGGGACGUCCUACCGGUGGGCUUAGCCUCGCGAGGGGCGGCCCAACUAAUAUCCCGUCGCGGUGCUCUUUACUGAGUGUCGAGUCGGGCCGGUACGUUUACUUUGAACAAAUUAGAGUGCUUAAAGCAGGCUAUCCUCGCCUGAAUACUGCGUGCAUGGAAUAAUGGAAUAGGACCUCGGUUCUAUUUUGUUGGUUUUCGGAACCCCGAGGUAAUGAUUAAUAGGGACAGAUGGGGGCAUUCGUAUUGCGACGUUAGAGGUGAAAUUCUUGGAUCGUCGCAAGACGGACAGAAGCGAAAGCAUUUGCCAAAAAUGUUUUCAUUAAUCAAGAACGAAAGUUAGAGGUUCGAAGGCGAUCAGAUACCGCCCUAGUUCUAACCAUAAACGAUGCCAGCUAGCGAUCCGCCGAAGUUCCUCCGAUGACUCGGCGGGCAGCUUCCGGGAAACCAAAGCUUUUGGGUUCCGGGGGAAGUAUGGUUGCAAAGCUGAAACUUAAAGGAAUUGACGGAAGGGCACCACCAGGAGUGGAGCCUGCGGCUUAAUUUGACUCAACACGGGAAACCUCACCAGGCCCAGACACCGGAAGGAUUGACAGAUUGAUAGCUCUUUCUUGAUUCGGUGGGUGGUGGUGCAUGGGCCGUUCUUAGUUGGUGGAGCGAUUUGUCUGGUUAAUUCCGAUAACGAACGAGACUCUAGCCUGCUAAAUAGGCGUACCUUAUGGUAUCGCGAAGGCCCCCGGCUUCGGCCGGUGGGUUUUUACUACCAACGUACAAACAAAUCUUCUUAGAGGGACAGGCGG
rnacentral:rRNA from 1 species